UGUUACUAUAACGAGACACACUAAGAUCACAUUUAUUUGCAGGUUUUUUAGGCAUAUUUCCCGGACAGACCUGCUCUCUGUGUGGCAUAUUGUGUUCAUCAAUACAUCGAUCUUACAACGCCGCUUCGGGCCCCCUUUUUGUCUCUUAUGUCUGACCUCACAGUCCAGUCUUCUGUCCUAGCAUUGCCCAUUGGAUAAGAUGUCUUCUCAAGCUUGCCAGUAUUGACCCCUCUUUUAGUGCUCAUUCAGCCAGAGGUGCGGCCACUUUAUUGGACUUUCGGGCAGAUUGAUCCAGAGAAUCUACUUUUCA